AACGCACGAGACCUGCGGACCUGCGGAGGGAUCAUUACCGAGUUAUCAACUCCCAAACCCCUGUGAACAUACCCGAACGUUGCCUCGGCGGGACCGCCCCGGCGCCCCUAGCGGCCCGGAACCAGGCGCCCGCCGGAGGACCCAAACUCUUGCUUUAAACAGUGGCAUACUCUCUGAGUCUCACAAACAAAAAAUAAAUCAAAACUUUUAGCAACGGAUCUCUAGAUCGGAAGAGCACAC
rnacentral:misc_RNA from 1 species